rnacentral:rRNA from 1 species
UACGUAUGGGGCUAGCGUUGUUCGGAUUUAUUGGGCGUAAAGGGCGUGUAGGCGGGGGACUAAGUCAGGUGUGAAAUCCAUGGGCUCAACCCAUGAACUGCACUUGAUACUGGUUCUCUUGAGUUUGGAAGAGGAGAGCGGAAUUCCCGGUGUAGCGGUGAAAUGCGUAGAUAUCUGGAAGAACACCAGUUGCGAAGGCGGUCUCUUGGUCCGUAACUGACACUCAGGCGCGAAAGCGUGGGGAGCAAACAGG